rnacentral:misc_RNA from 1 species
GAAAUGCGAUAAGUAAUGUGAAUUGCAGAAUUCAGUGAAUCAUCGAAUCUUUGAACGCACAUUGCGCCCCCUGGUAUUCCGGGGGGCAUGCCUGUUCGAGCGUCAUUUCACCACUCAAGCCUCUCUUGGUAUUGGGCGACGCGGUCCGCCGCGCGCCUCAAAUCGACCGGCUGGGUCUUUCGUCCCCUCAGCGUUGUGGAAACUAUUCGCUAAAGGGUGUCGCGGGAGGCUACGCCGUUAAACAACCCCAUUUCUAAGGUUGACCUCGGAUCAGGUAGGGAUACCCGCUGAACUUAAGC